rnacentral:lncRNA from 1 species
ACCAAGUAAAAUAUAUUCCAGUCAAUAGCUUGAAUUUUGUAACUUGUACCAAUAGGCACGGUACCUAUCAGAUCAUAAGACAGACGGGAAAAUUUGAUGAGAAGAAUACAAUUUAAAAACAAAACUUGAUCACCCUUCAAUGCGAAAGGUAGGUACUUGUACAACUGAAAAAACUAGUUCUAAUCUACACUCAACUAAUUUACAUAUGCGGCUAUUGCUCUUACAGCAGCCCCUAGAGAUGGGGAGGGCGGCCAUGUUUGGUCUUGUGUCGGCUGGGUCUGGCUGUGGGUCUCCCCCGCCCUCCCACUACAACUAAUUAUAAAAUGAUCUCUUGAUUUUUGUUUUUUUUUUUUACCUCCUCUUUUUUCUCUUUUAGUGCUACUGCCCUACUGCACAUGUAGAGUACGUUUGAAAUUUAGGAGCUGCCAAAAUGUCUGGAACUCGAUGAUGUAGCCACAAAAUUUUUUAUCAAGAAUUUGAUUUCGAUUUACUUCAAUGUUUUGGAAUGCGAGAAACCAACCCUCUCCAUUCCAUACCAGGGGAUAGCAGUUUUCUCUUUAUAAAAUUGAGUAGAAUUCGCCUUAAUUCGACGCAAAUUUAGGUCAGUAAACUCAUUUCUCCACAUUUAGCUCGAUGAACUCGAGAGUCCAGACUAUGCUAUCACUGUACCGAAUUAGACUACAACACUCUUUGACUAAAUUUGUCAGUACUCAAAAACAAAACAAAUAGCAGUGGACGGAAUGGGAUGCCUAGCCUCUAAGUCACUUGGAUGUGCUAACCCAAUUUCAUGCAUAAACUUUUACAACAAUGAUUCUAUAGUAAUCUGAUUGCAAGACAAGGAGCCGAAUCCCUAUGCAACACCUAACCCCUACUAAUUUGGAAAAGUAAGUUUCUUAAUGUAGGCGUGGCUGGUUCAUCAAGCAAAAAUGCAUCAACAUCCACUUGGUUGCCAUCAUAAUAACACCACUUUCGGAGAACACAGUUUUUUUAAUUAAACCUAAUAUGUAUAGCUUGCACAUGAGCAGCAAUAUUUUGUAGGGCCAUUUCCGUUCCUAUUACAUUCAUAAAGCUCCCAGGAAUCAAUUAAUGGAACUAACGAAGCUUCUUGGCAAUAAGUAAAAGUACCUGUCUUCUUAAUAAAUAAAGAAGCAGCUAUCAUAAGGAAUAACUCCACUUAAAAAGCUUACCUAAGGUGCAAAAACCUGGCUUGCUGAGAAAAAAAGCAUGCUCUGUAAAUUACAAAACAUAGCAUCUCGAGAUUCUAAGAAAAAAGUAACAAUUAUCCCUCAUAUUCUGUAAGUAACCUUUUGAAACUCUAACCAGCUAGGGACACCAUCCACCCUGUCAAGCACCAUGUUUCUAUUUUUCAGAAAAGAAAGACACACCAAGUAAAAUAUAUUCCAGUCAAUAGCUUGAAUUUUGUAACUUGUACCAAUAGGCACGGUACCUAUCAGAUCAUAAGACAGACGGGAAAAUUUGAUGAGAAGAAUACAAUUUAAAAACAAAACUUGAUCACCCUUCAAUGCGAAAGGUAGGUACUUGUACAACUGAAAAAACUAGUUCUAAUCUACACUCAACUAAUUUACAUAUGCCUCUAACAAAUUUAAAAUUUAGGAAAAGACUUUUACAUUUUUGUGAUCGUAUAUUUAAACUUACGAGCUUUUCUCUUAAAAGAUAAA